CCUACGGGAGGCAGCAGUGGGGAAUAUUGGACAAUGGGCGAAAGCCUGAUCCAGCAAUGCCGCGUGAGUGAUGAAGGCCUUAGGGUUGUAAAGCUCUUUUACCAGGGAUGAUAAUGACAGUACCUGGAGAAUAAGCUCCGGCUAACUCCGUGCCAGCAGCCGCGGUAAUACGGAGGGAGCUAGCGUUGUUCGGAAUUACUGGGCGUAAAGCGUGCGUAGGCGGCGAUUCAAGUCAGAGGUGAAAGCCUGGAGCUCAACUCCAGAACUGCCUUUGAAACUAGAUUGCUAGAAUCAUGGAGAGGUGAGUGGAAUUCCGAGUGUAGAGGUGAAAUUCGUAGAUAUUCGGAAGAACACCAGUGGCGAAGGCGGCUCACUGGACAUGUAUUGACGCUGAGGCACGAAAGCGUGGGGAGCAAACAGGAUUAGAUACCCUGGUAGUCCACGCCGUAAACGAUGAUAACUAGCUGCCAGGGCUCAUAGAGCUUUGGUGGCGCAGCUAACGCAUUAAGUUAUCCGCCUGGGGAAGUACGGUGCAAGAUUAAAACUUCAAAGGAAUUGACGGNUUGAGACGNGCGAGNGACGACGAGGGAGAGG
rnacentral:rRNA from 1 species